UACAGAGGGUGCGAGCGUUGUCCGGAAUCACUGGGCGUAAAGGGCGCGUAGGUGGCGACCCAAGUCCGUGGUGAAAGCUCGUCGCUUAACGACGAGUCGGCCACGGAGACUGGGUGGCUCGAGCACUGGAGGGGCAGAUGGAAUUCCGGGUGUAGCGGUGGAAUGCGUAGAGAUCCGGAAGAACACCAGUGGCGAAGGCGGUCUGCUGGGCAGUUGCUGACACUGAGGCGCGACAGCGUGGGGAGCAAACAGG
rnacentral:rRNA from 1 species